AUAAAGGUUGAAUUGGAUAUAUUUAAAAGUUUGGAAUUUAUAUAUAUACUUUUGGAAGUUUAAGGAUUAAAUGUUACUAAAAAGUGAAGUUAAGGGACUUAGUUUGCAAUUAUGGGUUUUGGACCAAUUAAUACAAACCUUUGACCCAUUUUCUCUCAUUUCACACACACACACACAGUAACUUACGGGAUGAGGCAGUGACCGAGAGAAGAAGAGAAAAAGAGGAAAGAAGAAAGGAAAAAGGAAAAGAAAAAGGAAAAGAAAAAAGGAAAAAGAAGAGGAAAGGAGGUAAGGUUGAUAUCUUCAAGUUGGGUUAAAAUUUUUCCAUUUGUUUUAGGUGAUAAAGUAUGAAUUAUGUUAAAAUUUUUAGGGUUUUAACUUGUUGAAUAAAAUGUCGAAUUUUAGGGAUAUUUGCACGAAUUGGAGCUCAAGUGUGGGGAUUAUUCAUUUCAAAUUUUCAGCAAGGUAUGAAGAUGUGAAAUUUUUGGGAAAACCCUAGAAUCCGAAUUUGGGGGAUUUUAAUUAAUUAAUUGUGAAGUGAUUAGGUAAAUGAAGUAUGUCAUUUGGGAAUUGAUUUUAUGGAACAAAGGUAUAUUAUGUGGGUGGAAUUGUGGUUACCAGUUUAAUUAGAUUGGAGAUUUAAAUUAGUUUUAAAUUUGAAAUGAUGGUUAUGUUGAUCAAUUAGUGAUUAACCAAGGAAUUAUAAAGUGUAAUUAGCUCCAACUAAUAAAGGAAAAUUUGAGAACUUAUUUAAGUACCAAGAGCAUUUAAAUUAUGUUCUAUUAUUAGAUUUUAAGGUUUCUCGAUUCGAUAGUGGAUAAAUUGGUUAUCAUUAUCGUAUUUCAGGAGGUAGCGAGGCGAUUGGAAACGUCUAUCAGCCUAUCUAGCUUGUAGCUCAUACCUUGUGAGUGGAUACAAACUCAUUUUUUUCAAAAAUUAGUAUUUAUUAAAUUUAUAUUAUAUUGAAAAUUUAUUAUUUCAUACAGUUAAUUUGACAGCAUGAUCUUUAAAAUAAUGUGAAUUUAUAAUCAGUUAUUUUUAAAGUUAAUUUCAGUUCAAUUAAAUUAUUUUCUCAGCAUGUUACAUUUGUAUUAAAUAGUUCAGCAUAUUUAGAAUUGUUUUCUAAAAACCAUCAGAAAGUACCCAGGUGAUUUUACCCCAGUUUGCACUGAUGUGAAUGUGUUUCCACAGUGUAUGACUAGUUAUAGUGAUUUUACCCGCUCUGCACUAUUGUGAAUGUGUUUCCAUAGUGUAUGACCAGAUUAUCAGAGGUCUUUGGGACCCACUCUCGUACACAAAUAGGCUUUGGGCCGUGUACUAGGGUGAUUAGCCUUUGGGGCAGCUCUGCGUAUGUAUGACCAGAUUAUUAGAUUAUCAGAUUAUCAGAUUUGAAUGGCUUUGCCUUGUACAUCGAGAUUACUCUGUACAUGAGUAAGGCUAUUCAUUGGGUACUCUUUUUGGUGUGAUUUUUCAGUAUUUAUUCUAUUAUCAGAUUUCAGAUUAUGGAAUUCAGUUAAUUCAGUUUUCAGAAUUAAGCUUUUAGCUUAUAGUAUUAAGGCAGCAAUAUUUCAUAAUUUUUCAUGGAUAUCAGAGUAAUUAUAGUCAUUAUGUUAUACAGUUGCAUUUCUAGAAUUAUGUCCAAGAAAUUAUGAUAUGAUCAUGUUUAGUUUUUAAAAGUGUUACUAUUUUUCAGAAGUUCUUAGCGAUAAAUAGUGCAAGAAUUUUCAGAAAAUAGUAUAAAUGGAUAAGUUUAUUUAUUUUCAACUAUCCACUCACUGAGUUGUAAACUCAUAUCUUUUUACUAUGUUUUCCUAUCAGGAGAAGGUCGAUUUUGAGAUAUUUGGGAAAGCCUGCUGAAGCAAAAGAGACCGUUUCAUAAGUAUGUAAUGAAUAGUUGGGAAACUUAUGUUUAUUAAGUAAUUGUCUAAUUUUGGGUGACAAGCAUAUUCGUAGAAGGGUUUGUAAGUGAUGUAAUACUUGCAUGUUGACAGGAUGAUGUUGUAGAAACACUCAGUCGAAUUUUGUUAUAUUCUGUAGUAGUUGUGGUGGUAUUAGAGGAAGUGGUGGUUUCCAAAACUUUUGGUUUAAAUGUCUAUUUGAGAUUUUGAUGAUUUUUCAGGUUGGUUUUGUCCAUGUUACAGGGNUUACAGUGAUUUUACCCGCUCUGCACUAUUGUGAAUGUGUUUCCAUAGUGUAUGACCAGAUUAUCAGAGGUCUUUGGGACCCACUCUCGUACACAAAUAGGCUUUGGGCCGUGUACUAGGGUGAUUAGCCUUUGGGGCAGCUCUGCGUAUGUAUGACCAGAUUAUUAGAUUAUCAGAUUAUCAGAUUUGAAUGGCUUUGCCUUGUACAUCGAGAUUACUCUGUACAUGAGUAAGGCUAUUCAUUGGGUACUCUUUUUGGUGUGAUUUUUCAGUAUUUAUUCUAUUAUCAGAUUUCAGAUUAUGGAAUUCAGUUAAUUCAGUUUUCAGAAUUAAGCUUUUAGCUUAUAGUAUUAAGGCAGCAAUAUUUCAUAAUUUUUCAUGGAUAUCAGAGUAAUUAUAGUCAUUAUGUUAUACAGUUGCAUUUCUAGAAUUAUGUCCAAGAAAUUAUGAUAUGAUCAUGUUUAGUUUUUAAAAGUGUUACUAUUUUUCAGAAGUUCUUAGCGAUAAAUAGUGCAAGAAUUUUCAGAAAAUAGUAUAAAUGGAUAAGUUUAUUUAUUUUCAACUAUCCACUCACUGAGUUGUAAACUCAUAUCUUUUUACUAUGUUUUCUUAUCAGGAGAAGGUCGAUUUUGAGAUACUGGGAAAAAGCCUGCUGAAGCGAAAGAGACAGUUUCAUAAGUAUGUAAUGAAUAUUUGGGAAACUUAUGUUUAUUAAGUAAUUGUCUAAUUUUGGGUGUCAAGCAUAUUUGUAGAAGGGUUUGCAAGUGAUAUAAUACCUGCAUGUUAACAGGAUGAUGUUGUAAAAACACUCAGUCGAAUUUUGUUAUAUUUUGUAGUAGUUGUGGUAGCAUUAGAGGAAGUGGUGGUUUGCAAAACUUUUGGUUUAAAUGUCUAUUUGAGAUUUUAAUGAUUUUUCAGGUUGGUUUUGUCCAUGUUACAGGGGAAACUCUGUCAAAAUUUUUAUAGAUAUUAGCACAGUCAAAAUAGGUCAAGUUUGCCUUGGUGGUGGGUCCGGUAUUUUGCUGGCAUCUACUACCGGCGCACGACACGUGUCGAGUCAAUUAGGUUGAGUCAGGACGGGUCGUGUCAGAUUUUGUUGGUGGUGUUUGUAGGGUGGUGGCAACAGCGAUUUUAAUGUUGGCUGUGAUGGUGAGGAGGUAGUGGUGUUGGUGGUCAUAACGACGGCGAUGGUGGUCAUGGAAUCAAUUGUGGUGGUAGUACAGAGGUUGUGGUGGUGGCUAUGCCUGGGAUGGGGUAAGUGGGGGUCUUUGUGAUGAAUUAUUUAGUUGAUUGCGAUCAAUAAAAUAGUUAAUUUGUGACCAAUGAAUAACACAUAACUUAGAAAAGGUGAUUCUGAUUCACAAUUUAUUAAAUUGUGAUCGAAAAAUAACUACUUAAUUUGAUAAUUCUGUAA
rnacentral:lncRNA from 1 species